UAGUUGGUUGAGUCCAGUGAAUCUUCAGAUAUCUGGGCUCAUUGCUGCAGGAGAGACUUUGUGGGUGGCUGAGCUGUUGGUAAUCUCUAGUUUUGAGUCUUUUUGAGCUCCCAGGAGUCUGUUUGUUUUUGCCUGGCUCAGUGCUGCUGACUGAUUCAGGAAUAUGGGCAGUAUAAUUUGUGCCAGUUUACCUCACAUGCCAUGCCAGGUAGUUAGUAAAAUGGUCCCUUGGCACCUUACAAGGGCCAUUCCAGUAGCCCCUGCUGUUACUGACAUUUGUUCUGCUGUGUCAUUUCCCCUACCCACCCACCUCCUGACUCUAGUGCCCCCUCAAUGUUCUUAGAUGAGUGUCCCUUGGGGCCCUAAUGGUUUACUUUGAAAAAAUUAGGGUCUUCAUAGUAGGCCUGAGCCUCCUGGAUACAGUCACUAGGAAUAAUGGAAUAAGACCGAGGUUCUAGUUGUUGGCCUGAUUAAGAGACACAGCCAGGGGCAUUUGUGUUGUGUUGCUAGAGGAUGAAAUCCAUAGACCUGGCAAGAUGGACAAGAGUGAAAGCAUUUGCCAAGAAUGUUUUCAUUAAUCACGGAUGUGAGUCGGAGGUUUGAAGACUCUCAUCCUUGUGGUCAUAGUACCAACCACAAAUGAUGCCAACUAGCUAUGCAAUGGCAUUAUUCCUAUGACCUGCAGCACAACUUACUGUAAAGCAAAGUCUUUGGUGUCUAAGAGAAGUGUGGGUGUAAAGCUGAAACUUAAAGGAAUUGAUGGAAGUGCACCAGCAGAAGUGGAGCCUGUGGCUUAUUUUGACUCAACACAGGAAACCUCACCCAGCCUGGACACAGACAGGAUUGACAGAUAAUAGCUCUUUCUCAAUACCAUAGAUGGUGGAUCAUGGUCAUUCUUAGUUGGUAGAGUGAUUCCUCUGGUUAAUUCCAAUGAGGAUUUAGAUUCUGUAAUGCUAACAAGUUAUGAUACCCCCCAAGCAGUCAGCAUCCCCCAACAUUUUGAGGUACAAGUGGCAUUCAGCUGCCUGAGGUUGAGCAAUUACAGGUCAGUGAUGCUGUUAGAUAUCUUGGGCUGCACACCCAUAACACUGACUGGCUCAGUAUGUGCUUACCCUAUGCUGACAGGCAUGGGUAACCCGGUUGAACCCUGUUUGUGAUGGGAAUUCGGGAUUGCAAUCUUCCCCAUAAAGGAGGAAUUCCCAGUAAAUGCCAGUUAAUAGCUUGUGUUGACUAAGUCCCUGCCAUUUGUACACACUGCCCAUCCCUACUACUGAAUGGAUGGCUUAGAGAGGGCCUCAGAUCAGCCCCACCAGGUUGUCUGGUGAAACCAUGUUGGCAUGUCCUUGGUAAGGAGGGGCACUAGCUGGUGGGGUGGCAGCUGCUGCUGCUGCUGCACUG
rnacentral:ncRNA from 1 species